CCAAUAUUUUGCUUUCUUUCUCAGUGACACGGGACGAAUAUUCCCCGAAUCGGUGGUCUUUACAGUGGUCUUCUUAAUAUCUGCCCUUUUUGGAGCUGGCAACGCUUCCAUCAUGUACCGGUUCAUGAUCAUCCGGUCUGAACAAUCAGAGAGGCGACAUAUCAUCUGCCAGAGAAUCCUCUAUGUCGUUGCAUGGAUGGGCUGCAUUGGGACCAUUGUGACCGCCAUAGUUUCGAUGAGGAUCAGUCCUACAGUCCACAGGAUCGGCGCAGGACCGGCAUUUUUCUUUUGUGCCGUUUACAACCUAGGUCAAGCUGUAUGCCUGUACAAGAAAUCCUUCAGCAGUCGCC